rnacentral:rRNA from 1 species
UCUAUCCUACGGGGCGCAGCAGUGAGGAAUAUUGGUCAAUGGUCGGGAGACUGAACCAGCCACGCCGCGUGAGGGAUGAAGGUACAGAGUAUCGUAAACCUCUUUUGUCAGGGAACAAAGGCGGGGACGCGUCCCCGGAUGAGUGUACCUGAAGAAAAAGCAUCGGCUAACUCCGUGCCAGCAGCCGCGGUAAUACGGAGGAUGCGAGCGUUAUCCGGAUUUAUUGGGUUUAAAGGGUGCGUAGGCGGAUCGUUAAGUCAGUGGUCAAAUUGAGGGGCUCAACCCCUUCCCGCCAUUGAAACUGG